rnacentral:lncRNA from 1 species
AGAAAUACUUACUUCAAACUAAAAAUAUAUAAAAAAAGUCAAAUUUAAAAAUUAGUUAUAUAUAAUUUAAUAUACAAAAAUUCACAUACAAAUAAAAAUGAUAAAUGCCUUGUCCAAAACGAGCACACCACAUUACUUUCCCCCGUUGCUAUACACACACACCACCAGCAGUUUCCUGAGAGUCCUUUAAUCCCAAGAAACACCGACCAGAACACAACAUUUUGCCUAACCAGAUAACAGACUACACUCCAGUAUACUGCCAAAAAAGAUAGUCCCUGAGAAGGCUCAAUCAAAUGCAAAUCUAAACAAAACACACAAUCAUAAGACCUCUCCACCAAUGAUAAAAACUCAAAUUUAUUAUUUCAACACCCUGAAAUCAUCAGAGGAAACUCACCACAAAGAAAGAAAGCAGAAUCAAAGCGAAAUUCAAAGGGAUUACUAGAUCUUUCCCAACACUUAUUCAUUAAAUUUUUAAAAGACUUAUUUUAAUUUUUAAUCCUGAUCAGGAUCUGGCUUAACCGAAGCCUUCCUUGGGGGUAAUAUGCCCUUCUCCCCCAUCUUGCUCCCCUGUUUAGCCGUAUGUUUCUUCCUUGGGGAGACAACACUCUGCACGAGCCGCUACUUAAGAGUACCCCCCAUCGCAGCACCACUGGCUUUCCCUAGCUUCUUCUUAAUAGCAUGUCGUUCCUUGCCUUCAGUAACAUUUGCAACCUCCUGAAUUUCAGUCUCCAUCAGUUGAUCAUCCUCCUCCACAUCAAAACCUGCUUCCUCAAGGAUCACGUCUCCCAAUUGAUUAGCACCAUCCUGCUCUGCUGCCUCAGUAAAGACCGCAUCCUCAGGUAGCUCCAGCUCCGUUCCUUCAGGCAUGUCCUCGACUUCCCCUAUCUUCUCCCCCUCUCUCUUCUCCUGAUUGAGAAGUGCAAUGAUCACUUGUAAUCUUUAGGUUUUCUAAUGUUUUGAAAAUCAACCAAUGAAUUUGACCCAAAAAAAAUCAACCAAUGAAUUAAACAGAUGUUGUUAGGUGAUUAACCAAUGAAUUAAAAUUAACCCAUUAAUUAGGAAAAAAAUCUGUAAAAAUAAGCAAGUGGGCCCAAUUUUAAUUAAGUGAUUGAUAACAAUAUAUUAGUUUACCAUUAAUGGAUGAGUGGCAUUAGGUUGUAAUUAUCAAAGAACAUCAACGGCAAAUCUUUUUUUAAUGCUGAUUUAUUAUGAUAUUAGAGUUAUAAGAAAUAUUACAUAGACAUUUAGACAACCGACAAGACUACCUGCCAUAUGAAGAUCUAUGACUAACUGCAUCACCUGAGACGUUCUAUGAAGAUCCACGCUUGACCAGAUUUAUUUGCACCAUAUUGAAAAUCCCUUGUAAGCUUUUCUUCGGUAGUCUGCAUAAUUGUUUGAUAAAUCUCUUUCUCCGGGAAUUGAAACAUAGACCUCUUAUAAUAUGCAAUCUGCAAAAAAUCGCAUAGUCUGAGAUUCGAACCCAGACUUGGGUGUAAAAGCUUUUUAAACCUUAACCACUAGGUUCUGGUGCUUCCACAACAAAAUCUUAUUUGUAAUUCAGUUUUAAUAUACAAACUUUAUGAAAUAGUUCGAUCUUUUGUACUCAACAUUGUAAACGAAUUAUGAUUGGUUUGAUUUUUUUUUUCUAUAAGGUAUGUAGGUAGAGUUUCAUAAGGUUUGAGUCUUACCUAAAACAUUACGUACACAAAUUCGAUUGUGCUAGUUUGGGACCCAUAUAUCUCUUAUCAUUGUUCCCCCGUCUUUCAGCUAGCAUUGCAUUUAGAUCAAAAUCAGAUGUAGAUUCUUCCUCAAACGUCAAACCAGAACAAUUUGGGAGGAUCUUGACCAUACACCAUUUUAAAUGUUGUUGUAUGCAGAGACAAACAAAACAAGGUAUACCAGAAUUCAACCCAACGACAAAAUACUUAAAUCAAGCCUUCAAAUAAGCAGAAGCAAAGCAUUUUUAAUAGGUCUCUAAGCAUCUAUUGAAAACUUUUAUUUGACCAUUACUUUGUGGAUGAUAAGGUGCUAAACAUCAAGACAGUACCUGCCUUACGAAAAUUUCCAUGCUUAAAAGUUCAAUCGUGGUCCAGAAAAAAUCGAAACUGUCUAAGCCUCAUAAAAUGAGUAUAGUUUCUCAGAUGAUCAAUGACCACAAGUAUCACAUUUGCCUCUUCAGAUUUUGGAAGGCCUUUAAUGAAACCCAUGGACGCUUCUGACCAUAUUUGUGAUGGAAGUGAGAUUGGGUGAAGUAACCCAGCUGGUUUAUUCGAAGCCAUAUAUAAAAUCACAUUAGCCAUGAUAACACUAGGACAAGAUCUUACAGUAAGACCAUAAACAACCAAUAGAAAAGGAUGAACAUUGUCCAUGAAAUUCUGGGUUUUUUCAACAAUGCAAAUGAAAAAAAAAAAAAGGAGACAAGAAUGCCGUAAUCCGAACCGGUGUGCUAAACAACAUUUAUGAUCCCGGGAAGACCACAUAAAAAGACAUGUGUGUUCAGGAAUAAAUUAAACUUUCAAAGAAAGCUUCUGAGCAGCAAGUGCUUCAGCCUCAAGGGUUGGCUCCCAGAGAAGUGUGGUCUCUGCCAACAGUGAAGUCACAAUGUAUGGGUCCAUGUUAGACGCUGGACGCCGAUCUUCCAAGUAACCUAUACUCCAAUUUCACAAUGAUAUAUAUAAUAUGUUAGCAAAUGUAUAGAUAGCAUAAGAAUAAAAAAACAAUCCAGAAUAAGUACCUUUUCCUUUCUUCUCGGUAUCACGUCCCACACGAAUGGAGCAUCCACGGUUAGCCACUCCCUGCCAAGUCCAAGUUUAAUGCAAAUGAGCAUAUGAAACGUGAAGAUAUCUUGUAGACUCUUAUUGCAUAUACAUACCCAUGAGAAUUGGUCGAUACUGGCUGUCUCGUGCUUUCCGGUCAACCUUCUCUCAUUGCCUUCACCGUAGGCACUGAUGUGCUCCAUGUGACGAAGCGAGAGGUUCAAGAUUGCCUUUUUAAUCACCUCAAAUCCUCCGUCCUCUCUCAUGCUCUUUGUGCUGUAAUUGGUAUGGCAACCAGCACCGUUCCAGUCACCCUCAAUCGGUUUGGGAUCAAGUGUUAGGACAACACCAGCUUGUUCUGUGAUUCUCUGCAAAAACAAACGUAAUCAACAGUUAGUUGUAAUAGCUUAACUCUUACUCACUCAGUUUCUCUACAAAUGAGACUUUUAAUUACCUCAAGAAGGUAUCUAGCACACCAAACGUGAUCACCUGCUUCGAUUCCUACGCUCGGUCCAACUUGGAAUUCCCACUGAACAAAUAUUUGUUGGCAACAUUGUAAAAAAAAAAAAAUAUUAUCGUAGAAUUUAUUAUCAUUCUAUUAUGGAAUUUAUUAUUAGAAAAAAAAAUUUAUUAACAGAAGCUUCAUUGAGGAAAAAAAGAGACCUGUCCUGGCAUAACUUCACCAUUAGUACCACUGAUGUUAAUUCCAGCAUAUAAACAAGCUUUGUAAUGAGCAUCUGAAAUGUCACGUCCCCAAGACUUUUCAGCUCCAACUCCACAGUAGUAAGGACCCUGACACCAUCCAGAAAAUAUUGGUUACUUUUUUUAUUUUAUUUUUUAAUUUUGAAAACCAAACAUAAGUUUUAGCUUGACUCGGUUAUCACCUGGGGACCAGGAUACGCUCCAACGGGCCAACCCAAAGGCCAGUUCACGUUUGGCUGAAGUAAAGUGUACUCUUGUUCAAUGCCAAACCUGAAAUCAUGAUAAAGAGUAUUCAUCAGACUUAAAUGGAAUUGGAGGCAAACAUAAAAUAAAUGAGAUUUUUUCGUGUAAUGACAAACCAUGGAAUCUCUUCAUUGACCUUCUUGUUGCUGAAAAUCUCAGCAGCUCUUGCACGUUUGUUUGUUGGAAUUGGCUCACCAGCUGGUGUGUAAGUAUCACAGAUAACCUUCACGUAAAUAAAAGCUCCAUAAUUAGAGAGUGACUACAAAAAACUGUUGCAAAAAACUAUACAAAGUCAAAUGACACACAUACCAAUAUGUUAUUGCCUCCACGGAAAGGAUCUCUGAAGAUAGCUUGCGGACUGAAUAAUAACAGCAUCAGUACACGAAUAUGAGUUAAUGAAACAAAAUAUCAAACGAGAGAAAUGUUAACAUUGCCUUGAGAAAAGACUUACUAGAGAAUAACUUCACUAUCUUCACCAGGUGCUUGUCCGGUACUCGAACCAUCAUAGUUCCACUUGGGAAGUUCGGAAGGAUCUUCCACGGGCUUUUCAAGCGUCUGAAAUUUUCAAGAAACCAUUCAUUUAUCCAUUACAAUCAUAGACUCUAGUAUAAAUUUUACUACAAAGUCUAUUACAGUAUCAUACCCUUGACUUGCUCCUAAGGUCAAUUCCAGAUCCGCCAAUCCUAUUCAAACAAAAGGACAAGAAUCUUAUAUUAGAAAUGAGAUGAGAAACAUACGCCAUCCACUCACUGACAAAUCAGGUUUAUGAAAAAUUUGCGGGUUAAUAAUACCAUACCAGAUGUACUCAGCGAUGAUCCGGUCAGUGAAAGGUUUGGUGUCUAGAUUGAGAAGACUCUCAACUCUGUUGAUUGUGCUGUUAUCAGAUUGGAGAGCCAUCACUUUGAAGCUUCUGACUUUGCUGCUGCUGCUCUGUUUCUUCUGUUUCAACACAACCGAGUUCCAUAACUUUGACGAUGCAAUGGAGCUGGGUUUAGUCAAUCUCAUUUGACAUGUUGGAGAAGCUGCCAAGAUCUGCGCCAUUUUGAUCCCUGUUCAAAAUCAAAAAGUAUUAUCCAAACCCAAAUCAAGAUUCCAUAACUUUAUCCAAUAAGACUAAAAUGGGAUCAAGAUUCUUGACCAAUACUGAUUAAACUCACUAAAAGGUGAUUAGAAAGUAACCAAAAUGCAUUAAGUCAAAGAGAAAAGACAAAGAGAUUCAAUUAAAAUACCAAAAAGUGUGAUGAUCCUUUUUGAUAUUAACUCAAAAAGAAGAGAAUUAUAGAUUAAUAAGUACGUGGUGGACCCGAGAUCUACUGUAAUCCACCUUUUUAGAAGCCAAAUUAGCAAAGAAAGACAGAGUUCAACUUUUUAUUACAUUACUUGUUUAAAAGAUUCUCUGACCAGAAACAGAUGGGUUUCUAAAUCCAGUAACAAGAUCGGAUCAAAUGCAGGAAAGAUGUAAUCAGAACAGAGGAAGUACCUGGAACUUGAAGAAGACUCUAACUCUGAUUUCAGGAGACUUGAGUGUUUGCAACAAAUGGCAAAGGAAG